AGCGAACGCUGGCGGCAGGCCUAACACAUGCAAGUCGAACGAAGUCUUCGGACUUAGUGGCGGACGGGUGAGUAACACGUGGGAACGUACCUUUUGGUUCGGAACAACUCAGGGAAACUUGAGCUAAUACCGGAUGAGCCCUUAGGGGAAAGAUUUAUCGCCGAAAGAGCGGCCCGCGUUAGAUUAGCUAGUUGGUGAGGUAAAGGCUCACCAAGGCUACGAUCUAUAGCUGGUCUGAGAGGAUGAUCAGCCACACUGGGACUGAGACACGGCCCAGACUCCUACGGGAGGCGGCAGUGGGGAAUCUUGCGCAAUGGGCGAAAGCCUGACGCAGCCAUGCCGCGUGAAUGAUGAAGGUCUUAGGAUUGUAAAAUUCUUUUACCAGGGACGAUAAUGACGGUACCUGGAGAAAAAGCCCCGGCUAACUUCGUGCCAGCCGCCGCCGUAACAC
rnacentral:rRNA from 1 species